GCUGGAUGUGGUGGUGCACACCUGUCAUCCCAGCAACUCUGGAGGCUGAGGCAGGAGGAUCGAAAGUUUGAGGCCAGCCUCAU
rnacentral:sRNA from 1 species